rnacentral:rRNA from 1 species
AACACCGGUUGAUCCUGCCGGAGGCCACCGCUAUUGGAGUUCGACUAAGCCAUGCGAGUCCAGGGGGGCUUUGCCCACCGGCGGACGGCUCAGUAACACGUGGACAACCUGCCCUCAGGAGAGGGAUAACCCCGGGAAACUGGGUCUAAACCCUCAUAGGUCAUAUUCGCUGGAAGGCAAUAUGGCUGAAACUCCGCAAGGAGCCUGAGGAUGGGUCUGCGGCCUAUCAGGUUGUAGUUAGGGUAACGGCCUAACUAGC